rnacentral:tRNA from 1 species
CACUGGGAAGCUAAAUAGGGUAUAGCAUUAGCCUUUUAAGCUAAACACUGGUGGCCCCCAACCACCCCCAGUGA